GGAGGUAGUGACAAUAAAUCACAAUGCGGGACUAUCAGUCUUGCAAUUGGAUUGAGAACAAUGUACAACUCUUAUCGAUAAGCCAUUGGAGGGCAAGUCUGGUGCCAGCAGCCGCGGUAAUUCCAGCUCCAAUAGCGUAUAUUAACGUUGUUGCAGUUAAAAAGCUCGUAGUUGAAGUGUGGGUGAUCGCUGUUGUGAGACUUCGGUCUCUCGACAGUAAGUCACCCCCUUCCAGUAUCCAGUAGUGGGUAUUCAGUUCAGUUACUUACUAUUGUGUGUUGGUCCUUUACUGUGAGAAAAUUAGAGUGUUCAAAGCAGGCGUUUGCUUGAAUAGAUUAGCAUGGAAUAAUAAUUGAAGGCUUUCGUGUUCGAUUUGAUUGGUUUGUUCAUGGAAGCAAGGUUAAAAGGAACAGUUGGGGGUAUUCAUAUUCACUAGUUAGAGGUGAAAUUCUCGGAUUUAUGGAAGAUGAACA
rnacentral:rRNA from 1 species